UGGGGAAUAUUGGACAAUGGGCGCAAGCCUGAUCCAGCCAUGCCGCGUGUGUGAAGAAGGCCUUCGGGUUGUAAAGCACUUUCACUUGGGAAGAAAAGUUGGUCGUUAAUAGCGGCCAGCCGUGACAUUACCUUGAGAAGAAGCACCGGCUAACUCCGUGCCAGCAGCCGCGGUAAUACGGAGGGUGCGAGCGUUAAUCGGAAUUACUGGGCGUAAAGCGCGCGUAGGCGGUUUGUUAAGUCAGCUGUGA
rnacentral:rRNA from 1 species